GACGAACGCUGGCGGCGUGCUUAACACAUGCAAGUCGAACGGAAAGGCCCUGCUUUUGUGGGGUGCUCGAGUGGCGAACGGGUGAGUAACACGUGAGUAACCUGCCCUUGACUUUGGGAUAACUUCAGGAAACUGGGGCUAAUACCGGAUAGGAGCUCCUGCUGCAUGGUGGGGGUUGGAAAGUUUCGGCGGUUGGGGAUGGACUCGCGGCUUAUCAGCUUGUUGGUGGGGUAGUGGCUUACCAAGGCUUUGACGGGUAGCCGGCCUGAGAGGGUGACCGGAGACAUGGGGACUACGACACGGCGCAGAGGGGUACGGGAGGCAGCAGGGGGGAAGAUUGUACAGUGGGAGGAAGUGUGAUGCAGCGGCGCCGCGGGCGGGAUGACGGCCUGCGGGUUGAAAACCGCAUCCGGUUGUGACGAAGCGGGAGUGACGGUAAUGGGUGAAGAAGCACCGGCUAACUACGUG
rnacentral:rRNA from 1 species